rnacentral:rRNA from 1 species
GGGGUACACGAGCGGCGAACGGGUGAGUAACACGUGAGCAAUCUGCCCAUCACUUCGGGAUAACUCCGGGAAACCGGUGCUAAUACCGAAUACGACCACUUCAGGCAUCUGAUGGUGGUGGAAAGUUCCGGCGGUGAUGGAUGAGCUCGCGGCCUAUCAGCUUGUUGGUGGGGUAAUGGCCUACCAAGGCUUCGACGGGUAGCCGGCCUGAGAGGGUGACCGGCCACACUGGGACUGAGACACGGCCCAGACUCCUACGGGAGGCAGCAGUGGGGAAUAUUGGACAAUGGGCGAAAGCCUGAUCCAGCAACGCCGCGUGAGGGAUGACGGCCUUCGGGUUGUAAACCUCUUUCAGCAGGGACGAAGCGCAAGUGACGGUACCUGCAGAAGAAGCACCGGCCAACUACGUGCCAGCAGCCGCGGUAAUACGUAGGGUGCGAGCGUUGUCCGGAAUUAUUGGGCGUAAAGGGCUCGUAGGCGGUUUGUCGCGUCGGGAGUGAAAACUCAGGGCUUAACCCUGAGCCUGCUUCCGAUACGGGCAGACUAGAGGUAUGCAGGGGAGAAUGGAAUUCCUGGUGUAGCGGUGAAAUGCGCAGAUAUCAGGAGGAACACCGGUGGCGAAGGCGGUUCUCUGGGCAUUACCUGAC